CCUACGGGUGGCUGCAGUGAGGAAUUUUGCGCAAUGGCCGCAAGGCUGACGCAGCAACGCCGCGUGGGUGAAGAAGGCCUUCGGGUCGUAAAGCCCUGUCAGGUGGGAAGAAUGGCCUGAUGUUUAAUAGACAUCAGGAGUGACGGUACCACCAGAGGAAGCACCGGCUAACUCCGUGCCAGCAGCCGCGGUAAUACGGAGGGUGCAAGCGUGAGUCGGAAGUGCGGGGCGUGACGCGCGUGCAGGCGGUGAAAGCCCCGGGCUUAACCUGGGAAGUGCAGUGGAAGCUGUUGGUCUUGAGUGCUGGAGAGGAAGGGGGAAUUCCCGGUGGAGAGGUGAAAUUCGUAGAGAUCGGGAGGAAUACCAGUGGCGAAGGCGCCCUUCUGGACGGCAACUGACGCUGAGACGCGAAAGCGUGGGGAGCAAACAGGAUUAGAUACCCUUGUAGUC
rnacentral:rRNA from 1 species